CUCAGGAACAGUUUGAAGGAUUAAAAUGUGGCAGUGAGAUUGCACUCUUCACUACUUUAUCUUGCAAGUUCGAGGCAUUGGUGAUGGAGAUAAAUUUGUUGCAAUUUACAAAUCAUUUGAGCAGACGUUUCCUGAUUGUAAAAUGGUUUUACCAAGUCUUCUUCCUUAUAGUUUGAAAACCUGCAGCACUGUGCGGGUACUCUUGCUAGUAAAAUUUACUUGUUACAAAGUAGCAGCACAAUGGAGAGCUUCUCAAUAAUU